ensembl:lncRNA
CAAUCAGGUGCAGUAGGCGCGUGGCAGCCUGCUUAAAAACCGAUUCUUUGGAGACAGGGAGUGGGCUGUGAAUCAUGCAUCCACAUAAUCUGAUGAUAACAAUUUAAAAUGUGGUGAUUAGUGUAUAAUGGAAAGUAUUGUGCUAUUUGGUAUGGUUUGUCUGCCACUGCGCUACCCAGUAUUCAAAGGGUUCCAUUUUCUACGCAAAUUGUCAUUCAUUCUAGUAGCAAAUGCAUAGGGCAACCUUAGGAUCAUUUAUGUACUUGCCUCUUCCUCUUAUGUAUGUAUGCACACGGUUACUUUUUGGGUCAUGCUACUGAAAUCAUGGAUAUGUGGCAGGAUUCUGAUGGUGCUGAGCAGCACACAAAGCCAUAUGCCUUUUAGUGGAGCUUGCAGGCUUGGCUGUGAACUGUAGGUCCAGGCUACCCUGGCCUUCUACCAGGAAGAGAGCAUCUAGUGGUAUGUAAGAGUUGUUGAGAAAACCAGCCUAGAAAGCAAGUUGCUUUAGUUGUUCAUCUUAAUGAGUGUCACCUGCAAGAUGCAACUACCUGACUGGUCUUUUGCUUGAGUUACCUCCACCAGACUACACCUUCAAGUAUUCUGCUCCCUUUGAAGACCAGGAAAACAUGAGGAACUGCUGGUGCAGCUGAGGGAUAUCAGCAUUAAAAGCAUUGAAAGGGAACCUUGCUUGUGUUUGGUGUGAAAAGUGUGAGGUAGUGAGGCAAUGUUCUAAUUGUGACAGUGGUUGAAAAGCACCAUAAAGUUCUUUCUCAUCAGGAUGUUGCAUUUUUCUUGUGUUGAGAAUAAUUUUGGCGGUAUCUUGUAGCAUCAACUUUCCAUUUUAGGUUUUAGCUUAGCAGGCAUUUAUAAUCCAAACAGAUUCAGUGCAAAUAUCUGUUGACAGGGAAGAAAAACAAAGGAAGCAAACAAAAACAGAGAAGAAAAGCCAUGGAAAAGCCAGGUGCCCUUGUGGAGAAGUCCUCUGACAGGAUGAAUCAUGAUCUGGGAGAAUUAAUAGCUGUAGACGGCGUCAGAUUGGUGACAACACAACUCAAGGACCCAUGGAAGAACUGCACCAUUGCUCAUCUGUAACUGAAGACAGAUUAAACACCCACUAAAAAGGAAUUUAAAAUUAAAAUAAAUUCUCCCCUCCUCUCA